UUUUUUGCAGGUGUGUGUUCAUAAUAUAAUAAAAUAUAUUUUAAACGAUGAUUUAUUCUAACGUCUUUAAUAUUUUACAUGUGUUGACACCAUGAAUAAGCGUCGUCAAUAAACAUAUUUUUAUCAAAUACGGAUUAAAGUUUUUUACGCUAUAUUAAAGCGUCGAUAUAUUUAUCCCGAUAUAUUUACUUAAUGACUUUUUGUUCGAUACUUUUAUAAUUGUCAGAAUUAUUUUUUAAAGCGUUGCUAGUUAUUAUUUAAAAUGUGACAUUAUUUAUAGCAUUUUCAUCCUACAUUGAUUUCUU
rnacentral:lncRNA from 1 species